UGGGGAAUCUUGGACAAUGGGGGCAACCCUGAUCCAGCCAUGCCGCGUGAGUGAUGAAGGCCUUAGGGUCGUAAAGCUCUUUCGCCUGUGAAGAUAAUGACGGUAGCAGGUAAAGAAACCCCGGCUAACUCCGUGCCAGCAGCCGCGGUAAUACGGAGGGGGUUAGCGUUGUUCGGAAUUACUGGGCGUAAAGCGCACGUAGGCGGACCAGAAAGUUGGGGGUGAAAUCCCGGGGGCUCAACCCCGGAACUGCCUCCAAAACUAUUGGUCUAGAGUUCGAGAGAGGUGAGUGGAAUUCCAAGUGUAGAGGUGAAAUUCGUAGAUAUUUGGAGGAACACCAGUGGCGAAGGCGGCUCACUGGCUCGAUACUGACGCUGAGGUGCGAAAGUGUGGGGAGCAAACAGGAUUAGAUACCCUGGUAGUCCACACCGUAAAACGAUGGGUACUCGGUGUUGCGGGUGUUGACCCCUGCAAUGCCUUAGCUAACGCGUUAAGUACCCCGCCU
rnacentral:rRNA from 1 species